rnacentral:rRNA from 1 species
AGCGAACGCUGGCGGCAGGCCUAACACAUGCAAGUCGAACGAACCUUUCGGGGUUAGUGGCGGACGGGUGAGUAACACGUGGGAACGUGCCUUUAGGUUCGGAAUAACUCAGGGAAACUUGUGCUAAUACCGAAUGUGCCCUUCGGGGGAAAGAUUUAUCGCCUUUAGAGCGGCCCGCGUCUGAUUAGCUAGUUGGUUGAGGUAAUGGCUCACCAAGGCGACGAUCAGUAGCUGGUCUGAGAGGAUGAUCAGCCACAUUGGGACUGAAACACGGCCCAAACUCCUACGGGAGGCAGCAGUGGGGAAUCUUGCGCAAUGGGCGAAAGCCUGACGCAGCCAUGCCGCGUGAAUGAUGAAGGUCUUAGGAUUGUAAAAUUCUUUCACCGGGGACGAUAAUGACGGUACCCGGAGAAGAAGCCCCGGCUAACUUCGUG